GUGGCCAACUCAUAAUUUUCUGACUUUGGACUCAUGCACACGACCGUAUGGCUUUUUUAGUGUUUUGCGGGCCGUUUUUAACGGAUCAGUUUUUCCAUUUUUUUGUUUCAGUAGUGUUUCUGGUUCUGUUUCGUUUUUCCAUUCAUUGUUUCC